GGCGUGGCUCAGCUUGGUAGAGCACCUGCCUUGGGAGCAGGGGGUCGCAGGUUCGAAUCCUGCCGC
rnacentral:tRNA from 2 species